rnacentral:rRNA from 1 species
UGCCGCUUGCGAGGGCGUAUGGUGGAUGCCUUGGCAGACAGUACCGAUGAAGGACGUUUGAGGAUGCGAUAAUCCUAGGGGAGCCUCCAACAUGGCUUUGAUCCUAGGGUCUCCGAAUGGGGGAACCCGCCGGCCGUCAUGGGCCGGCACCGCCUAUGGGCGGGGGGUACGCAGGGAAGUGAAACAUCUCAGUACCUGCAGGAAGGGAUACUCCGUGAGUAGUGGCGAGCGAAAGCGGAUCAGACCAAACCGGUUGCGCGUGAUACCCGUCGGGGGUUGCGUUGCCGGUGUUGUGGGAUCACGUGUCCCGGUUCCGACGGGCCGGGCGGGAGUCAUAAAACGGCUUGCCAGGGGAACAGGCUUGAAGGCCUGGCCGUAGAGGGUGCCAGCCCCGUACCUGGACGUGAGCCGUCUUCCGAUCGUGUUGUCCCAAGUAGCGCGGGCCUCGUGGAAUCCCGCGUGAAUCAGCCCAGACCGUUGGGUAAGUCUAAGCAUACCUGUCUGACCGAUAGCGUACCAGUACCGUGAGGGAAAGGUGAAAAGCACCCCGGGAGGGGAGUGAAACAGUUCCUGAAACCGUGCGCCCACAAACCGUCGGAGCCUCUGUGUGGGGUGACGGCGUGCCUAUCGAAAAAUGAGUCUGCGAGUCAGUGGCGGGUGGCGAGCAUAAGCCGUGUGGCGUAUGCGUAGCGAAAGCGAGUCUUAAAAGGCGUUUUUAGUCGCUUGUCCUGGACCCGAAGCGGGAUGAUCUAGCCCUGGGCAGGUUGAAGCGCGGGUAAGACCGCGUGGAGGACCGAACCCACCUGGGUUGAAAACCGGGGGGAUGACCUGGGGCUAGGGGUGAAAGGCCAAUCAAAUUCCGUGAUAGCUGGUUCUCUCCGAAAUGCAUUUAGGUGCAGCGUCGGUCGAUUGCGUCGCGGGGGUAGAGCUACCGGAUGCUUGCGGGCCCUUGUUGGGUACCAACAGCAGCCGAACUCCGAAUACCGUUGACGUGUAUUCCGGCAGUGAGUCGGCGGGGGAUAAGCUCCGUCGUCGAGAGGGAGACAGCCCAGACCGUCGUCUAAGGUCCCGAAGCGUGUGCUAAGUGGGAAAGGAUGUGGAGUCGCAUAGACAGCCAGGAGGUUGGCUCAGAAGCAGCCAUCCUUGAAAGAGUGCGUAACAGCUCACUGGUCUAGUGGUUCCGCGCCGACAAUGUAGCGGGGCUCAAGCACACCACCGAAGACGCGGCAGCAAUCUUCAUGGUUGCUGGGUAGGAGAGCGUCCUGCGAGGGGCGAAGCGGCGGUGGAAACCGGCCGUGGACUUCGUGGGAGUGAGAAUGCAGACAUGAGUAGCGAGAGACGGGUGAGGAUCCCGUCCGCUGGAUGACCAAGGGUUCCGGGGCCACGUUCGUCGUCCCCGGGUGAGUCGGGUCCUAAGGCGAGGCCGACAGGCGUAGUCGAAUGGAUGAACGGGUGGAUAUUCCCGUACCGACCAUGGACCGGCAAAACCGAGACGGUGAGUACUAACCUCCGCCUCGUGGUGGUUCCUUCCUUCGGGUUGGUGUCGCCGCGUGGUGUUGGGAGCGUAGCCGCAGUAGGUCAGCGCAGGGGUGACACGGAAUGGGAGCCGGCCGCGGAGGUGGUUUUCCGUGGUCAAGCACGCAGCCAGUCAUGUAGGCAAAUCCGCAUGGCGCGCAUGGCGAGGUGUGAUGAUGGGAGCCGUUGUGGCUCGAUAUCCGGUUGUCCAGGCCGUCGAGAAAAGCCUCGGCGUGAGGGCCAUGGCCGCCCGUACCCCAAACCGACACUGGUGGUCAGGUAGAGAAUACCAAGGCGAUCGAGCGAAUCCUGGUCAAGGAACUCGGCAAAUCACUCCCGUGCCUUCGGUAUAAGGGAGACCCGCUGGGGUGAACCGGCUAGCCCGGGGAGCUUUGGUGGGUGGCACAGACCAGGGGGUAGCGACUGUUUACCAAAAACACAGGUGCAUGCGAAGGCGAAAGCCGCUGUAUAUGCACUGACGCCUGCCCGGUGCCGGAAGGUUAAGAGGAUCCGUCAAUCCCUUCGGGGACGAAGCGGUGAAUUCAAGCCCCGGUAAACGGCGGUGGUAACUAUAACCAUCCUAAGGUAGCGAAAUUCCUUGUCGGGUAAGUUCCGACCUGCACGAAUGGCGUA